UCAACAUUCACAACAAAGGCAGUCUUUGCAAGCUCUUGGAAUUUCUGAUCUCACAACAGCACUCUGGAACUUUAGUACUAAAGAAUCGCCAAAGAUAACUAACUGAAGACUAGGAUGAUCCAAGACCCAAAAUAGCAAUAAAAACGCUAGGUCCUAAGGUAUCUGAUGUACUCCAAGGGAAGAGAAGUGGAAGGACUAACUGUGGGUAACUAAAGCCAAGUAAAUUUGGGAAUAAUGAAAAAAAGUGAUUGGAAUAUGGACAAUUUGAUCAGAGGAAUUCCAACUGGAAAACAUAACAUUCUACAGAGAUAACUAGAGCCUCUAUAAGAUGAAGGACCCCCUAUGUAAGAUACUGACUAACAUAAGGAGACCACUUUGAAAUGGCUUUUAAAUAAAAUGAGUUGAAAAGAUUCCAACUUCCCUCCCGGACACUUUAAAGAGGGUCUGUUUGAUACUCAGGAAAUUUAAGAACCUCCAAAAAGACCUUCUGUUCUAUGACCAUUAUCAAUGUCUCUAUACCUGAGGCAGUUUUUGAAACCACCAUGGAGUCUGAUCUUUUCACAGAAAGAAGAGAUUGGGGUUUGAUACCUGACUGAGAGAUUACCAAGAGAUUGCAGCAAGUGGCUGUUUCCUGGAAGACUUUGUCUGCAAAACAAGGCAAGCUCUGCUGGCUGCACUCACUCAUCUCAACCCUCCAUCGUCUGCAACACCUCCUUUACUCCUAGAAGUCCAAGGCCCUAUCCUUUUGUUUGGCUCUAUGUAAGCUUCCACUGUCUAAGCAUCCUUUGAGUCUCAUGUUGUUCGUGUGUAGUUUCUGUAUUUAGUACAUCAAUAAAUUUGUCUGGUUUCUUCACUAUUAA